rnacentral:rRNA from 1 species
CCUACGGGAGGCAGCAGUGGGGAAUAUUGCGCAAUGGGCGAAAGCCUGACGCAGCGACGCCGCGUGAGGGAUGAAGGUCUUCGGAUCGUAAACCUCUGUCAGCAGGGGAGAACGGUCACUGUGCUAAUCAGCAGUGAAUUGACGGUACCUGCAAAGGAAGCACCGGCUAACUCCGUGCCAGCAGCCGCGGUAAUACGAAGGGUGCGAGCGUUGGUCGGAAUUACUGGGCGUAAAGGGAGUGUAGGCGGAUAUGUAGGAUAGCGGUGAAAUGUCGGGGCUCAACCCCGGAACUGCCAUUAUGACGAUGUAUCUAGAGUAAUGGAGAGGAUAGCGGAAUACCCAGUGUAGAGGUGAAAUUCGUAGAUAUUGGGUAGAACACCGGUGGCGAAGGCGGCUAUCUGGCCAUUUACUGACGCUGAGGCUCGAAAGCAUGGGGAUCAAACAGGAUUAGAUACCCUUGUAGUC